UCUGUGGCAAGUACAAUAAUUCACUCACUUCUAUUAUGCGCGCUCGUUCGUCAAGAUAUACUUCGUAUACAUCUUAAGUGCGCAAGUGAAGCAUCGUAGUGAUUACAUGUCCUACCAUCGCUUUUUCAACUCUAUCCUGUACAUUUGUUUCGAAGCGGUUCAAUGUUUCUUGCUCGCGUUAGGAUCAUCCGUAAUAGCACAAGAGGUAAUGGUGCCGAAUGCAAGCGAAACGAAUCUCAGAUACUAACACCAAAGACGAUGUGUCGCUUCUAGGCUCGUAGACCCGGUACUACAAUGAACGUAUUUGUCAAUGCUUGGCUAGACACACGCACGGAGCGCAGCAUCGAGCUGUUCACACUGGCCGUAUUGGCUUCCGAUGCCAGAAUCAAGAUCGGUGGUAUGUACGUACUAAAUAUGGCGUUCGUAUUCUCGGUAUGUAGCGACAGCGAAAAGUAAGGUAAUUUUUACGAGCAAACCGACUUCAUUUUCAAUUCGUUCCAGCUGGCCACAACAGUAAACAUGUAUCUGAUCGUAUUGGUACAGUUCCAGCUGAAUAUCGAUUAGUUGCUUUCUGAAACUCUUAAUAAAUAAAGGAUUCUAAUUCCUAGUGCAAAUUGUGCGAAUUGAUCCCUCCUAACUGCUCACAUUUGCUCCACCGAAUGUACUGAUCCUCUAAGCAUACACCAAGAUACUCGCUUACUACUGUGCUACUCCUGAAACACAAGCAACUGAUAGUAAUUGACACUGGAACAACCUCCAAAACGAACAUGGCAUUAAUCAUGCAAAACUCUUCCCGUAUGAUGAGUUUUAUUAAUUAUCCGAGGUCCAUUUUCAAUCAACUUAAUCACUCUCGAACUCAAUGCGAUAGCGCUGCUGCAGACCGUGCCACAACCACGCUCGGUAGGGCAUUAGUAUGGUGGUUCACAAUGUCGCACGAUGUCGCCAUUACGAAAGCGGUGCUGGUGCUUAUCAAGUGCUUUGGGCAGUUGUAUGGGAUUUUACCACUCUCGUCCAACGCGUUUACGUUCGAACGAUCCCGCCCGGUGCUCUGGUACAGUCGAACGAUCGCGCUGCUACUGAUGGUGAUCUAUCCUUGCGCCUAUAUCGUACUGCUUACGGAUCACGAAUUUCCGAUCCUUGCGCUCAGCUACUAUAUCAUUAUGCUUCAGUUCACGCUCAACUACAUCAUCGUGGGUGUGCUGUAUCUGCACGUACUGUUCGAUCCUACGCCACUGUUGCACGUGCUCAAUGAGCUGAUCGAACGGACGCGUGCUCUGCUCCGGCACAUCGACCCCCCGGCCGGAGAGUCCCCGGUGGGGCGUCGGCUUUUUUUCAAAACCGUCGCAAUUGAUUUGCUGCAAUCCUUCACGUGGUAUGGAACAUUUCUCUGGCUGCAGCGCAAGUUCGGUGCCACCUAUAUACUCGCCUUUUGGUUAAAUUCGGUCGCCGUGAUGCAGAUUGUAGCCGCGCUUAACAUACUCCUAGCGACCCUCCUCUGGGGAGCGUUUCUCUAUCGGCUAAUCAACGAACGGGUACGAACCGUCAUCGGCAGUCUGCUGCAGCUGGAUGACACCGACCGACAGGUCCGAGACAGUGCCACCGGCCGCGAAAGGCGAUUCAUUUGCAAUCACAUCUACUUGCAACUCACCAUUCUGCGCACUCAUCACAGUGCGCUUACCAAGUGUAUUCAAAACAUUGUCGAGUUCUACAACACGCCACUAGCACUAAUAAUGCUGUAUCAAUUUUUGAUUAUUAUUUCUGAGGUAAGCAGAAGCGCGCCUAUUUCCACUUCCGGUUUACUUAUUCAUCCUUCGGCUGUAAUUCGGCUAGCGAAUAAUUCAUUGCGGGGAAAUGCAACGCACACGACCAGUCACCCAAACGCACGCCUUCGGAACGGUUCACCAUGUUGUACGGAUACUUAACGCUGCUUGUACUACGCCUUCACUUCCACACCGCACAGUGCAUUGGAUUCGUACCGCUACAUUUCAAUGAGCAAUUGCAAACAUUUCAAAUCAGCAGAUGGCUUACCGUAUGGUCACAUGCACUUGCUCUAACGCUGCUCUGUGUCUAUCCGUAUGUGUACGUUAUCCUGUUAACGGGUAUUCGCUAUCCAAAGCUUACACUCGUCAACUAUCUCGUGUGGAUGCAGUGUUCCCUUCACUAUGUGAAUCUUGCACUCAUUUACUACCAUCUGCUGCCGGCCAGACCAGUGAUUCGUGACAUUUUUAACGGCUUCGUGCAACUCUUCCGCACCCUCAACGGUGCCGGCUGCCAUCGGUGGAAAGGGAAGAGCACGAAAAAGAACGUCCUCAAACUUGCGCUCAAAAUGAUCCUUUGCGAUACGCUGCUUUGUGCGCUGUUUGUAUUAUAUUUUGGACAGUUUUUCAUACACGACGGCGACAUCCAAUCACAAAUACUCUGGUCGCUGAACAUAUUCUCGGUGUGGCAGAGUGCAAUCUUUACCAACUUGAUCGUAGUUACGCUGAUCAUUGGUGUACAUUUUUUGGAAAUUCUAAACCAUCGCUUAUCGCUGUACAUUCGGCAAAUGCGUGCCCCUGCUUGCCAUCUGAAACAGCUGCGUCGCCAAAUAUCAACGUACGAAGCAUUAAAAUCCGUCCAACGGAAUCAUCACCUAGUCAGUAGCAAUGUCAAAUCGUUCAUCCAUCUGUUGAGGCUACCGAUGGCGUGCCUAUUGCUCGUUCAAUUUGCUUUAAUUGUAUCGGAAGUAUGCAUUGGAUCAGCAUUCGAGGCAGCGGUCAACGGACACUGUAUCUAAUAAGCUUAUUGUGAUAUCGUUUCGUUACAACGCACCAACACAGAUAUUCUACGCGUAUACGUCGAUCGUGCAGGACAUCAAAAAUGACGUCGAUGUGCCGCUGGGAACGUACAUGAGCUCUAUACUGUUUGCCGUGUUUGAAGCUGUCCAAUUUUACUACAUCGUAUCAGCCAGUUCUGAAAUUACCGAAGAGGCAGAAAAAACCGGCGUGCUGCUAAACGAGUUUCUACCAACCGAUCCAAACCCAAGAGUGGAACGAUGCAUUGAAUCGUUCGCUAUCGAACUGUUACACGAAGACUUCAAAAUCAAUAACUGUGGCAUGUAUGAUGUUGACUACACGUUGAUGUUUUCGAUGAUCGCGACGAUAACUAGCUACCUUAUCAUGUUGGUACAGUUCCAGCUGGCCGAGAUUUGAAGCGUUGCGCCAGUCCCACGGUUUCGGACAUGUUUCAC